rnacentral:misc_RNA from 1 species
GCAAACUUGGUCAUUUAGAGGAAGUAAAAGUCGUAACAAGGUCUCCGUUGGUGAACCAGCGGAGGGAUCAUUACCGAGUUAUCAACUCCCAAACCCCUGUGAACAUACCUGAACGUUGCUUCGGCGGGACCGCCCCGGCGCCCUCAGCGGCCCGGACCCAGGCGCCCGCCGGAGGACCCAAACUCUUGCUUUGUAUUAGUGGCAUUCUCUGAGUCUCACAAACAAAAAAUAAAUCAAAACUUUCAACAACGGAUCUCUUGGCUCUGGCAUCGAUGAAGAACGCAGC